rnacentral:rRNA from 1 species
GACGAACGCUGGCGGCGUGCCUAAUACAUGCAAGUUGAGCGCUGAAGGUUGGUACUUGUACCGACUGGAUGAGCAGCGAACGGGUGAGUAACGCGUGGGGAAUCUGCCUUUGAGCGGGGGACAACAUUUGGAAACGAAUGCUAAUACCGCAUAAAAACUUUAAACACAAGUUUUAAGUUUGAAAGAUGCAAUUGCAUCACUCAAAGAUGAUCCCGCGUUGUAUUAGCUAGUUGGUGAGGUAAAGGCUCACCAAGGCGAUGAUACAUAGCCGACCUGAGAGGGUGAUCGGCCACAUUGGGACGGAGACACGGCCCAAACUCCUACGGGAGAGAGCAGUAGGGGAUCUUCGGCAAUGGACGAAAGUCGGACCGUGCAACGCCGCGUGAGUGAAGAAGGUUGUCGGGUCGUAAAACUCAGUUAGUAGAGAAGAACGUUGGUGAGAGUGGAAAGCGCAGAAAGUGACGGUAACUACACAGAAAGGGACGGCUAACUACGUG